GAGCUCACCGGCUUCACCCAAGCUCGCAGCAUUGUGCCGGGAAAGGAUGUUCUCGGCUCCGGCCUCUUUCCUCCUCUCCUGGGGAGAGAACAUGGAUCCUGGAAGGCAUUGAGCCCCCUGUGCUCAGCCCCUGCCCAUCCCUUCCACCACUUAUCUGUCCUGUAGGCAUACUGAUGCGGUUUCCACAAAAUUGGAGGCUCGGAGAGGUGAGCUCCCCGGAGACAGGACCAAGAUCUGCCUUCAUCCUGGGGUUUGCAGGGCAGAGGCCAAGAUCCCGCAAAGGUGAUGUGCUCAGGAAGCCACAGCGGAGCCCCAGAUGCACCAUGUGAGUCACGCUGGUGCCACAGGCUUGAACUCAGCUGGACACAAACACCCUGGGAGGUGUGGAAGUGGGCAUUACCUCUGCGCUGUUCUUACUUGGAGCAGUGUCUCCAAUAUCCCUUUCCCAUUCAGCAACUGUGCAACACCUGACUUCAGAAACAGACGUCUAGAGCCCUGCCUGAUGGAGCCAGGACCAGCUUGCCUGGUGGAUCUGUGCCCUGGGGACCCGCUUGGGCUCUAGCGCAGCACAUGCUGUAGAGUCAAGCACACAUGAGGUGGCCCCACUGCCCUGCAGAUCACAGAUGCAGCCCCAGCUCACCAUUGGCAUUGGCCCCCAGUCAGACCUCUUUACGCAGCAUUCCAGCCUUGCGUUCUCUGCCACACCCAUUGCCCCACUCACCCCGCCCUCUCCACUCACUGGAGCUGCCCUCCCUCUCCUAAGCAACGUGCCUUCCUCCCCACGUCCAACAUCUUUGCCUGG
rnacentral:lncRNA from 1 species